rnacentral:misc_RNA from 1 species
GGAAGGAUCCCUAACACGUUGUACAGAAAUGUCAACGAAAACCAAACAAAAUGUUGGCUUGUGACUGGUGAUUGCUAACGCUAACAGUUGCAGGCACCCCUUAUUUUUACUCUGUGUAUUGUUUGUACGAGUUAUUUUUAAUAAACGAAAACUUAAAAACAACUCUUAGCAACGGAUAUCUAGGCUCUCGUAACGAUGAAGAACGCAGCGAAAUGCGAUACGUAAUGCGAAUUGCAGAAUUCAGUGAAUCAUCAAAUCUUUGAACGCAGCUUGCGCUCUUGGGUUACGCCUGGGAGCAUGCCUCUCUGAGUAUCAUCUAUAUCAAAACUCGGCUGCGUGCCGGACACUGAUCUCUUACAUCCUCUGAUGUACACCGAUCUAAGUUGACAGCGAGCGUUGGUUCGAAUUUACUUUCGAGAACCAAAAAAACUGAUUUAAACAGUGCUCAUGUGCUGGUAGUUGUAUGAGGGCAACCUCUUACAAAUGCCGACACAUUUUGAUGUAUCUUGUUUGUUCGGUCGAUUGGUCCAUUGAUUGCGAGUUCAGCCGUCUUAACGAUUUUCGCUAACACACAGGAAGAAACGUCAUUGUUUCUAACUCAACAUUCUGAUCUCAGAUGAAGCAGGAAUACCCGCCGAAUUUAAGCAUAUUAUUAAGCGGAGGAAAAGAAACUAACAAGGAUUCCCCUAGUAACGGCGAGUGAAGCGGGAAUAGCUCAACCUGAAAAUCGUCGUGCCUAGCGGCAUGUUCGAAUUGUGGGCUAGAAGUAACUUAUCAGCGCUUGGCCUGGAUACAAGUCUUUUGGAACAAAGCAUCACAGAGGGUGAGAAUCCCGUCUCUGAUCCAGGGACCGACGCGUACGAGGGUUGCUCUUUGAGUCGAAUAGCUUGGGAAUGCUGUUCUAACGGGAGGUAAAUUUCUUCUAAAGCUAAAUACCGACGAGAGACCGAUAGCAAACAAGUACCGCGAGGGAAAGAUGAAAAGAACUUUGAAAAGAGAGUUAAAAAGUACUUGAAAUUGCUAAGAGGUAAGCACUGGAAACCAGUAGCGCCCGGUACAUAUUCCCGUCUAGCGGUUAGUUUGCCUCUUGAUCCGGAUCUCACGACCUGCGUUCGAGAGCAACUGUCUGACUGUCUAGGCGGCCACAGUGUGCUUGGGUAUGUCAGCAUCAGUUCAGGUUGGAGCAGAAACUCACUGCGUAAGGUCGGUCGUGUCUUCGGAUGUGACCACUAACAUGACCGGUGAAGCGCUACUCCGAUGACUGGACUGAGGAGCUCAUUGAAUGCACGCCUGCUGGCUGCAUGCCGACUAUCCUGUGUUGACGCCUGGUACUACAGAACAAAGUUCUGUGGUGCUUCCGUCGGUACACUGAUUAUUGGCAUGACAUGUGCGUUCGAGAUGUUGACAAAAUGGUUUUCAAUGAAUCGUCUUGAAACACGGACCAAGGAGUCUAACAUAUAUGCGAGUAUUUGGGUGCACAAAACCCUGAUGCGCAAUGAAAGUGAAGGUGAGGUCUUGUACCACACUGAGGUAGGAACCGGUCCUGGAAACAGUGACCGGGGCACUAUCGACCGAUCGCUCACUUGUGAGAGAUUCGAGUAAGAGCAUAUCUGUUGGGACCCGAAAGAUGGUGAACUAUGCCUGAGCAGAUCGAGGCCAGGGGAAACCCUGGUGGAGGAUCGUAGCGAUACUGACGUGCAAAUCGUUCGUCUGACUUGGGUAUAGGGGCGAAAGACUAAUCGAACCAUUUAGUAGCUGGUUCCCUC